CCUACGGGAGGCAGCAGUGGGGAAUAUUGCACAAUGGGGGAAACCCUGAUGCAGCGAAGCCGCGUGAGUGAAGAAGUAUUUCGGUAUGUAAAGCUCUAUCAGCAGGGAAGAAAAUGACGGUACCUGAUUAAGAAGCCCCGGCUAACUACGUGCCAGCAGCCGCGGUACUACGUAGGGGGCAAGCGUUAUCCGGAUUUACUGGGUGUAAAGGGAGCGUAGACGGCAGCACAAGUCUGGAGUGAAAUGCCGGGGCUUAACCCCGGAACUGCUUUUGAAACUGUGCAGCUAGAGUGCAGGAGAGGUAAGUGGAAUUCCUAGUGUAGCGGUGAAAUGCGUAGAUAUUAGGAGGAACACCAGUGGCGAAGGCGGCUUACUGGACUGUAACUGACGUUGAGGCUCGAAAGCGUGGGGAGCAAACAGGAUUAGAUACCCGUGUAGUC
rnacentral:rRNA from 1 species